GACGAACGCUGGCGGCGUGCUUAACACAUGCAAGUCGAACGGAAAGGCCCUGCUUUUGUGGGGUGCUCGAGUGGCGAACGGGUGAGUAACACGUGAGUAACCUGCCCUUGACUUUGGGAUAACUUCAGGAAACUGGGGCUAAUACCGGAUAGGAGCUCCUGCUGCAUGGUGGGGGUUGGAAAGUUUCGGCGGUUGGGGAUGGACUCGCGGCUUAUCAGCUUGUUGGUGGGGUAGUGGAUUACCAAGGCUUUGACGGGUAGCCGGCCUGAGAGGGUGGCCGGCCACAUUGGGACUGAGAUACGGCCCAGACUCCUACGUGAGGCAGCAGUGGGGAACAUUGCACAAUGGGCGGAAGCCUGAUGCGGCAACGCCGCGUGCGGGAUGACGGCCUUCGGGUUGUAAACCGCUUUCGCCUGUGACGAAGCGUGAGUGACGGUAAUGGGUAAAGAAGCACCGGCUAACUACGUG
rnacentral:rRNA from 1 species